rnacentral:rRNA from 1 species
AGAGUUUGAUCCUGGCUCAGGAUGAACGCUGGCGGCGUGCCUAAUACAUGCAAGUCGAGGCGAGAAUUUUUUUCAAAUGACACUUCGGUUGAAUUUGGAAAAGGACAGCGGCGGACGGGUGAGUAACGCGUAGGCAACCUGCCCCUGACAGAGGGAUAGCCAUUGGAAACGAUGAUUAAAACCUCAUAAUGCCGAAGGAACACAUGUUUCAUCGGCCAAAGAUUUAUCGGUCAGGGAUGGGCCUGCGUCUGAUUAACUAGUUGGUGAGGUAACGGCCCACCAAGGUGACGAUCAGUAGCCGACCUGAGAGGGUGAUCGGCCACAUUGGAACUGAGACACGGUCCAAACUUCUACGGAAGGCAGCAGUAGGGAAUCUUGCACAAUGGGCGAAAGCCUGAUGCAGCAACGCCGCGUGAAGGAUGAAGGCCUUCGGGUUGUAAACUUCUGUUCUUAGGGAAGAAGAAAGUGACGGUACCUAAGGAGAAAGCCCCGGCUAACUACGUGCCAGCAGCCGCGGUAAUACGUAGGGGGCAAGCGUUAUCCGGAAUUAUUGGGCGUAAAGAGUGCGUAGGUGGUUAUCUAAGCGUAAGGUUUAAGCGUGCAGCUCAACUGCAUCUCGCCUUGCGAACUGGACUACUUGAGUGCAGGAGGGGAAAGCGGAAUUCCUAGUGUAGCGGUGAAAUGCGUAGAUAUUAGGAGGAACACCAGCGGCGAAGGCGGCUUUCUGGACUGUAACUGACACUGAGGCACGAAAGCGUGGGGAGCAAACAGGAUUAGAUACCCUGGUAGUCCACGCCGUAAACGAUGAGCACUAGAUGUUGGUCCCGAAGGGAUCAGUGUCGCAGUU